ACCUUUUGACAUGCCCGGACCGCCGGAGAGAUCCGGUUUUCCCUUCGGGGACUGGGACAC
rnacentral:rRNA from 1 species